UGGGUCGGGUUAUUUAGCCAACCAAAAUGGCAGUACAGGCUCCGACCGAGGACUGAGGAAGCUUAGGAUGACUAAUAAGAAUGGUUGCGGCGAGUGUUUUGUUGUGGAAGUAUUAGAAGAAUGUGUAAGAAACAUACGGUGCUCAUGAUGCAACUUCCUGGAUGGUGUGUAAAUUGUUUAUCAGCAUGUGAAAUCCACAUGAUUGAAGGAGAAGUCUUCCUUGUUAAAGAUCAGCAACGGCAGAUAAACAAUUCAUGAUGCAAUCUGCUCACUAAAAAGAUUACACCAAUACAUCCCAUGACAUGUAUUUCUACCUGUAACCUAUGUAACCUUUGUCAUGCUCUUCAGAGAGUCAUCGACAGGAAAAGGAAUUACUGGUAAGUUGACAGGACUUUCCACACUGUUUCUGGUAGCAGCUUAUGAUUGAAUUGAUGGUAGAAGACGUGGCCCACUUAAUCAAAG